GUGUGUAGGUUUGCGUCAUUUCCUGUUUCACAUUUCACCUAGGUUUUCUUGACAAAACGUGGUUUGGAGACCUGCAUCGGGUGACUCAGCCGCUGUCAGUUCGUGUAGUGUGUGACCCCCCUAUCACCGAUCAGUCGAACCGAACGACUUCAAGACUCCCGUCACAAGACAGCAAGUUGUGUAGUCUGAACUUAGUACUGUGAUCCAGAGAAUUACCUGGCCACAACCCAACUUGGACAGCGACGAGGAUGAGGAUGAUACUGUUCCAUUGGAGAAAAUCAGUCUUGUCACUGGAUUUUUGAGAAAAUUCAUAGAAGAAGCGUCAACAGAUGUGCUACGUGAUCUGAUUAAGUUUUGGGUGGGGUGGGAACUGCCAACAAGACACAGUGGCUCUCACCUGCUUCUUCAAGUUGAAGCUCCCCAGCCACUACCAGACCUAUAAGAUCUUUCACCAGGACUUGAUGAUGGCCCUCAGUUCCAUACGUUCUGGCUUUGGACUUGUGUAGUUGCAAAUAUCAUCAACUUCUUGCACUCAGUCCCUGUUUUGAAAUGGAAUCACUUAAAAGAGCAAUUCCUGUUAAUUUAUGCACCAUUUACUUUUACGUUUAUAGACUUGUCAGGCACCACCUUCACCUGUCGAUAAAUACGUUGAAGUUGGUUUGGUGAUUGUCUUUGGCCUAUGUUUUUAAAUGUGCACUAGCUUUAGUGAAUUUCAUAUUCUUAAUCCAAGUGUACUUUUGUAUGCAAUGAGCUUGGAUCAUAUAAAGAUCAUCUCUUGAGAGCUGUGGCAGCUUUCUCGGCCUCUCUCUCAUCAAGCUUAGACUUCAUAGACAUUUAGUUGUAAUUGUUGAACAGUUUAUACAGCUAGUACAUGUUUAAUUCGGAUGUUUAGGUAGAUACCAGUAUCUCCAAUAGUUCCCUGUACUAAAUACGUGUGUAAACCUAAUGAUGUUUGUGUAAAGCCGAUUUGUAUAAUAAAUCAGUUCUUUAUUAAAAUGUCUUCACAAAUUGCAUGCAAAGCGCAAGUAAAAAAACAUUUCAUACUACUCCA